AAGCUGUGAGGAAAUUCUCUGUCCCGGAGACGGUCUCAGAUGAGUUCGUCUUUGACGGCUGACAACCUCUAAGAAGUUCUGAGCUU
rnacentral:snoRNA from 1 species